rfam:Aspergillus niger ATCC 1015, whole genome shotgun sequence.
GCAUUGUUAGUCUAACGGUUAUGAUACUCGCCUUCCAAGCGAGUGGCCGGGGUUCGACUCCCCGACAAUGCA